rnacentral:rRNA from 1 species
UACAGAGGGUGCGAGCGUUAAUCGGAAUUACUGGGCGUAAAGGGCGCGUAGGUGGUUAAUUAAGUCAGAUGUGAAAUCCCCGGGCUUAACCUGGGAAUGGCAUAUGAAACUGAUUAGCUAGAGUUUGGGAGAGGGAAGUGGAAUUUCAGGUGUAGCGGUGAAAUGCGUAGAUAUCUGAAGGAACACCAGUGGCGAAGGCGACUUCCUGGCCCGAUACUGACACUGAGGCGCGAAAGCGUGGGGAGCAAAC